rnacentral:rRNA from 1 species
CGUGGAGACAGGUGGUGCAUGGCUGUCGUCAGCUCGUGUCGUGAGAUGUUGGGUUAAGUCCCGCAACGAGCGCAACCCUCACCUCUUGUUGCCAUCAGGUCAUGCUGGGCACUCUAGAGGAACUGCCCCGGUCAACGGGGAGGAAGGCGGGGAUGACGUCAAGUCAUCAUGCCCCUUACGUCCUGGGCUACACGCGUGCUACAAUGGCCGGUACAAAGGGAUGCCACACCGCGAGGUAGAGCUAAACCCAAAAAGCCGGUCUAAGUUCAGAUUGGAGUCUGCAACUCGACUCCAUGAAGGAGGAAUCGCUAGUAAUCGCGUAUCAGCACGACGCGGUGAAUACGUUCCCGGGCCUUGUACACACCGCCCGUCACACCACGAAAGCCUGCUGUACUCGAAGUCGCUGAG